rnacentral:tRNA from 1 species
UCGGCGAGCAGCUCGGCGGCGCGCUCGAGGGUGAGGUCCUCGACGGUGUCGUCCUUGCGCAGCGUGGCGUUGUACUCGCCGUCGGUGAC